CGAGGGGUAUAGUAGCAAUACUAGAGACCGGCGCACGGGUGCGUAACGCGAUAUGCAAUGCUACCCUUUUACAGAGGGAUAGCCCAGAGAAAUUUGGAUUAAUACCUCAUAGUAUAUUUGAGUGGCAUCACUUGAUUAUUAAAGUUCCAACGGUAAAAGAUGAGCAUGCGUCCUAUUAGCUAGAUGGUAAGGUAACGGCUUACCAUGGCUACGAUAGGUAGGGGUCCUGAGAGGGAGAUCCCCCACACUGGUACUGAGACACGGACCAGACUCCUACGGGAGGCAGCAGUGAGGAAUAUUGGACAAUGGGCGCAAGCCUGAUCCAGCCAUGCCGCGUGCAGGAAGAAGCAUCUAUGGUGUGUAAACUGCUUUUGUACGGGAAGAAACACCUCUACGUGUAGAGGCUUGACGGUACCGUAAGAAUAAGGAUCGGCUAACUCCGUGCCAGCAGCCGCGGUAAUACGGAGGAUCCAAGCGUUAUCCGGAAUCAUUGGGUUUAAAGGGUCCGUAGGCGGUUUAAUAAGUCAGUGGUGAAAUCUGGUCGCUUAACGAUCAAACGGCCAUUGAUACUGUUAGACUUGAAUUAUUGGGAAGUAACUAGAAUAUGUAGUGUAGCGGUGAAAUGCUUAGAUAUUACAUGGAAUACCAAUUGCGAAGGCAGGUUACUACCAAUAUAUUGACGCUGAUGGACGAAAGCGUGGGGAGCGAACAGGA
rnacentral:rRNA from 1 species